GUUUGGUCCGAGUGCAGUGGUGUUUACAACUAAUUGAUCACAACCAGUUACAGAUACCUUUGUUCCUUCUGCACUCCCACGGCUUCCCUUGACCAGAAGGAA
rnacentral:Y_RNA from 1 species